rnacentral:tRNA from 1 species
UCCCUGGUGGCUCAGACGGUAAAGCGUCUGCCUGCAGUGUGGGAGACCCAGGUUUGAUUCCUGGGUUGGGAA